rnacentral:rRNA from 1 species
GGAUGCGAUGAUACCAGCACUAACGCACCAGAUCCCAUCAGAACUCCGAAGUGAAGCAUGCUUGGGCGAGAGUAGUACUAGGAUGGGUGACCCCCUAGGAAGUCCUCGUGUUGCAUCCC